rnacentral:rRNA from 1 species
ACGUAGGGGUCAAGCGUUGUCCGGAUUCAUUGGGCGUAAAGAGCUCGUAGGCGGCUCAGUAAGUCGGUCGUGAAAGCCCGGGGCUCAACCCCGGGACGCCGAUCGAAACUGCUGUGGCUAGGGUUCGGUAGAGGAGAGUGGAAUUCCCGGUGUAGCGGUGAAAUGCGCAGAUAUCGGGAGGAACACCAGUAGCGAAGGCGGCUCUCUGGGCCGAUACCGACGCUGAGGAGCGAAAGCUAGGGGAGCAAACAGG